rnacentral:rRNA from 1 species
CCUACGGGGUGCAGCAGGCGCGCAAACCUCCGCAAUGCAGGAAAGUGCGACGGGGGAAACCCAAGUGCCACUCUUAACGGGGUGGCUUUUCUUAAGUUUAAAAAAGCUUUUGGAAUAAGAGUGGGCAAGACCGGUGCCAGCCGCCGCGGUAA